CAAACAUUGCUCUAAAUUUACAGUCGGUUUCAAGUUUCCCGGCAACAGGAAGUUGAAAAUUCAUAUUUUUCCCGGUUUGUCCUCCUCUUCAAAACCCAUGACUUUUUCGGUGCUCUGCUGGGUGCUUCAUCGUUAACCAUUACCACACUGUUUUCUAGGAAAAUGAUUGGCAAAAUGCGAACAUUAAAAGGUGUACGAUUCUCUUCGAGGGGUUCUUCGACAGGUUAGAACACCUUGGGAAGUGUUGCUACCAAUAGUCAAAGCACGAGAGAAGAAACUCAAACUCAAUUAGCGGAAGAAGUUCCUGCAACUCUGAGGCUACUAAGGGUACUAAGAGAAAGUGAGGGCCUACAAACAUGAAAGAUAUAAGGAAUCUUCAACCUGAAACUCGUAUAGUAGUAGAUGCCAACCAAUAUGGCCAGCCUAUUGGGAAGGAAGCGUCCAAAUUGGCUAAAUUUCUCGAUACAAUUGCAAGGACUGGUUCUAUCUGUCCUUUGAAUACAAAACAUUGGAAACAUCUUUCUAAGUAUGUGUUGGAAAACAUAUUGAGAAUCGUUCAUGUGUAGGAAAAGUUUGAUCUCUAAGGUAAGGUGGAGGACUCUGACAUCCUCUCACAUGUUGGAAAACUCUGGAGGGAGUUUAAAUCAACUUUGAAAACUAGAUACUACAAAGAGAUGGUCCAAGAAGGUCGACCGGUUAGAGAAAUAUAUGAAAAAAAUCCUUUUGGUGUGCAUGAUGAUCAAUGGAAGCGGCUUGUGGAGCGAUGGGGAACACCACAAGUUGCGUAGACACAAUCAGAAAAGGCGAAAGAAUCCCGAACAAAGGUGCAUUAUGCACACACCGCUGGUAACAUAGAAUAUGUGACCCUCAAUGCACAAUUUGCUGAGAAAGAAGGCUGUGAACCCUCACGUUUGGAGCAGUUUAGAUUUCAACAUUUGGGAAAAGAUGGGUGUGAAAAAUUGAGCAGUGAGGCAGUAGAACAGGUUUAUGAUGAAGCAUGAAAGAGGGUUAAAGAAUUUAUGCCAACACCUGAGAGUUUUUUCGCGCGUCAAGAUAAUAUUGCAUUAGAAAACGAGGUGUAUACAUAAGUGUUCGGCCCUGACAAGGAUGGAAAAAUGUUGGGAUAUGGACGUGGGAUGACCAAAUCCAGGUUGUUAGUUCAGUCACCCGAUCAAGCCAUCUGCAUCGGCCAUCAGUACAUUGAUUGAAGAGAUGAGUGCUAAACAUGUCGAGCAAAUACAAACAAUUCAAGCCGAACAAGCAGUUUGAAAGAAAACUCUACUCGAGGAAGCUGAAUCUCGAUUUCGUACGGAGGCCGCAGAGUGAGAAGCUCAUUUGAUAGCUGAGGUAGAAGAAAGAUUUAUGAAAUUAAUUGAAAUUCGAGAGGCAAAGUUCAUGGAUAUGAUGGAUGCUCGUGAGAAAAAGUAUAGGGCUCUCCUCAACGAGUGUAUGGCAAAGGGAAUGUCAAGUAAGUACAAGGUUCGUCAUAGUAUGCAUAGUAAGGUGACUAUUUUAUAACUAGAUUGUUAAUAAGUUUGUUAAUGGUUUAAUAGACAUUGAUUGUUGUAACUGAAUGCUAGGUUCUUAUUUAAUGUCUUCAUUGCUUGCUCAACUAAUAAUUAGUGGAUGUACUAAUGAAAAUUCUUUAUUUAACUUCAAUUUAUGGUUAUUUGGUUAAUACUAAAAUAUUCUUCCCAUGUGUUCAUGUUGUUUCUCAUCUAACUCGUAUAAAUAGAAAAUGUACAUUGCUAUUUUUGCAGUUGAAUUUCAGAGUAGCAGACUUGAUGAUAAAGCCUUCAGUUCGGAUGAUGAUGAAUGAGGCUUACUGCAUAUUAUGUAUUAUAUAUAUGUUAUAGUGGUUGAUGAAUGUAGUUGUCCCAAAAUUUUUUGAUUUCAUGGGAAACAAGUUGGCAUCAUGUUUGCAACGUGUUAACUGCUUCUAUUAGGAUUUUGUAUAAUUUUUGGAUGUCAUGUGAAAUAGGUCGACAACAUGCUCGCAACUUGUUGACUGCUUCUAUUAGGAUUUUGUAUAUAAAUUACU